rnacentral:rRNA from 1 species
UUUAAUUGAAGAGUUUGAUCAUGGCUCAGAUUGAACGCUGGCGGCAGGCCUAACACAUGCAAGUCGGGCGGUAACA